rnacentral:rRNA from 1 species
ACAGCAGUCGCCACGGUAAUACGGAGGAUCCAAGCGUUAUCCGGAAUCAUUGGGUUUAAAGGGUCCGUAGGCGGUCUUGUAAGUCAGUGGUGAAAGCCCAUCGCUCAACGGUGGAACGGCCAUUGAUACUGCAGGACUUGAAUUAUUGGGAAGUAACUAGAAUAUGUAGUGUAGCGGUGAAAUGCUUAGAGAUUACAUGGAAUACCAAUUGCGAAGGCAGGUUACUACCAAUUGAUUGACGCUGAUGGACGAAAGCGUGGGUAGCGAACAGGAUUAGAUACCCGAGUAGUCCCUGUCUCUUAUAC